CGCACAUUGCGCCCAUUAGUAUUCUGAUGGGCAUGCCUGUUCGAGCGUCAUUUCAACCCUCAAGCCCUGGCUGCUUGGUGUUGGGCACCUGCGGGCCUCGCCCGCAGGCCCCGAAAGACAGUGGCGAGCGCGCCGCGACCCCGAGCGUAGUAGUUUAUACAUCUCGUUUAGGGCGUCCGGUGCUGUCCCGGCCGUAAAAAACGUCUCCCCGGAGACACUUACAAGGUUGACCUCGGAUCAGGUAGGAAUACCCGCUGAACUUAA
rnacentral:misc_RNA from 1 species